CCACUUGUCUCCUUACCUUUAUACCAACAGGCAGAAGCUCCUGGUAUAUAGUCUGGGACAGAGAAAAGGUGUAUGUAGUGAGAGUAGAAGAAAGGAGACAUGCCACAGUGUUAGGGAGACCAAAGUCAGCAUUACAUUAAUAUUUCAUUGUCAGCCUGUCCACAUAGGUUUUGUUCCCAUACAUCCCUUUUAAGCUUCCAUACUUAAGCAAGAGUAUGUGAAGAGUAGUUAGGGUUGCCACCUUUCGUGG